rnacentral:tRNA from 1 species
GGCUCAAUCGGUAGAGCGUCCGACUACCAGUCGGGCACUCGCUGGUUCGAGUCCGGU